rnacentral:rRNA from 1 species
AGUGAACGCUGGCGGUAGGCCUAACACAUGCAAGUCGAACGGCAGCACAGUAAGAGCUUGCUAUUACGGGUGGCGAGUGGCGGACGGGUGAGGAAUACAUCGGAAUCUACUUUUUCGUGGGGGAUAACGUAGGGAAACUUACGCUAAUACCGCAUACGACCUACGGGUGAAAGCAGGGGAUCUUCGGACCUUGCGCGAUUGAAUGAGCCGAUGUCGGAUUAGCUAGUUGGCGGGGUAACGGCCCACCAAGGCGACGAUCCGUAGCUGGUCUGAGAGGAUGAUCGCCGACACGGGAACGUGGACGCGAACCAUAGUACUACGAGACGGAGCAGAGGCGUACAUGAGACAAUGGGCGCAAGUCUGAUACAACGAGACCGCGCCUGUGAAAGAGGCGCUCGGGGUGUAAUGACCUUUUGUUGGGAAAAAAAAGCAGCAGGUAGAGACGAAGAGUUGCUGACGGUACCCAAAGAAGAAGGACCGGCUAACUUCGUG